AUUUGGAGGGAACUCCUGAUCAGUAAAACGCGUUUCUCCUCUAGCAGAUAGGGCUUCUUUGACAGCCAGUUCAACUGAAAGCAUUCGCUGAUUGAUUUCUUCUUGCGUUUCUACCCUAGGUUUCCUAAACCUCCUUGUGAAAGAGUCCAUUUCCACCACAACUUCACGAUCUGACCUCCUUUUCCUCCCACUUGAAUAUUGACCAUCCCAAUCUACAUCAUCCCUAUCAUACAGAUCUACAUCUGCAGGAUCACUAUCCCACUCAUCAACCCUGGUGGGUGAAUCUGCCCAUUGCCAAUUAUCUUCAGGAAAGUCAACCAUACCAAACUCUGUUGAGCCUAUAGCAGUGUGAAGAGAGGCAAUCUCAUCUUCAGUUAAGCACCUUCCCCAUAAAAAGACAUCCAUUAUAUGCAUUUUAGACUCGACUCCUUCACUAUCUGACCUUCCAAAUGCAUCCACGUCAGUAGGUGGUCUAAAACCAACCCAAACUUCUGUCCCUUGUUCCCAUAUGCUACCACCAACAGACAGUGGUAACCCAGUUUGGAAGCCGUCAAAGCCACCAUCUAAAUAGCAAGUUGCCUCACCUAAAUCAGCAU
rnacentral:misc_RNA from 1 species